CGGCGCCACGAGUGGCACCCGUAUUUAUUUGGCCUAAAGCGUCCGUAGCUGGUUUGAUAAAUCUUUUGUGAAAUUGUUAAGCUCAACUUAACAACGUGCAGGAGACACUAUCUUACUUGGAACCGGGAGGAGUCAGAGGUAUUUCUUGGGGAGCGGUAAAAUGCUAUAAUCCUUGAAAGACCACCUGUGGCGAAGGCGUCUGACUAGAACGGAUUCGACAGUGAGGGACGAAAGCCAGGGGAGCGAUCCGGAUUAGAUACCCGAGUAGUCC
rnacentral:rRNA from 1 species